rnacentral:rRNA from 1 species
CCUACGGGGAGCAGCAGUGAGGAAUAUUGGUCAAUGGGCGAGAGCCUGAACCAGCCAAGUCGCGUGAGGGAGUACUGCCCUAUGGGUUGUAAACCUCUUUUGUCGGGGAGCAAAAGCCGGACGUGUCCGGCUGUGAGAGUACCCGAAGAAAAAGCAUCGGCUAACUCCGUGCCAGCAGCCGCGGUAAUACGGAGGAUGCGAGCGUUAUCCGGAUUUAUUGGGUUUAAAGGGUGCGCAGGCGGAUUUUUAAGUCAGCGGUAAAAUCGUGGGGCUCAACCCCAUCCAGCCGUUGAAACUGGGGAUCUAGAGUGUGCGAGAGGUAUGCGGAAUGCGUGGUGUAGCGGUGAAAUGCAUAGAUAUCACGCAGAACCCCGAUUGCGAAGGCAGCAUACCGGUGCACAACUGACGCUCAGGCACGAAAGCGUGGGUAUCGAACAGGAUUAGAUACCCGUGUAGUC